rnacentral:lncRNA from 1 species
ACGAAGUUGAGUCAUCUAUUUUGGAACGGAGGGAGUAACUACUAAACACAUGUGACAGAAGAUUCAUGUUCAUGAAACCUGACAACCUCCCAAGAAACAAAUGCUACAUGUUCAGAAAAUAGGAAUCUUCUGUCAGAUGUGGCAAUAAGGCACGCUAGGUUGAAAAUGAACAGAGAGCUAACACAAAAUUCUACCUCACCACGGUCCUUGAACUUGUAUCCUUAUUUCUUUUGAACUUUUUGUGUAGGGAUCCGGCGAGCUCGCCAUGGCGUCCACCACACGCAGAGGAAGAUGAAGUGAGAUCACAUCCCCAUGUGGAAAUGCACCCCAAAAACAGCACAAAGAUCACAUACAUCAUUCUGAACUCCGACCUUCUUUUCUGCACAUCAUGUGAUAUUCUCCCCUUCCUGAUAGUGACCUUCUUCAUUCCUAUAUUCACGCGGAUAGCAAGCACCGACAGCACAUAGGUCUCUGCAGACACAAUUUAUAAACAUAGGCAAACAAGAAUCCGCCACAAGCAUUCAGGAAGAUAUUCUUUGUUUAUUUUUUUGGUCAAACUUGUGUCAUGAACAAGCAUUCUAAACAGGAGUGAGUGACAAGCAUUCAGGAAGUGCAUAAGUGUCAGAUGCAUAAGCUUCAAGCUUCGAGUCUCUAUCUGAUGUAUAGUCCAUUUGAGAAGAGAAGUGAAAAGCCCAACAACAAUACUACAAUGACGCUUGCCAUUGGAGUUAGUCUGUCAAUUCUUCACGUGGGGCCUAGUUCUGUUCUCACCUUGUUGUAUGAGAUCGUAGCACAAGGAGUUGCAUCUGAGCUCCUGCCAUUUCUACAAUUUUUGAUUAAUGAACACAAUUGGCAUGCUAACCGUCAACACAUUGGACUGCAGCCAUACUUAUUACAGAAGAAAACAGUGGUUUUGCAAAAUCUGCAGGGAAUAGUCACCUUUUUGUGAAGAACAUCAAUGACAUACAGAGCACGACGCCUGCGGGGCUUCAGCAACGAACAUCAGGAUGGCACGACGGUGGUUGGAGAAGAAGUUCGAGCAGAGGAGGGGAAGCCGUCCAUGGUGAGUCAGAGGUGUGCAAACGAGGAACAGAGCGCGGAAUCACGGGCGGAAGGCGGGGACAGUGGCUAGCGGGGUGGAUGGCGGCGGUGCCGGCGGCUGGUGGGGUUAAUGGCGGCUGGCGCGGCACUGGAUCGGGUGGAUCCAGUAGGGACGCGCAUUGGCGUGGCCGGCAACGGGGAUGCGGGAGGAGGUCGCCGACGGGGUUGCGGGAGGAGGCCGCUGGCAGGGUUGCGGCAGGAAGCUCGCGGUGGCGUCAGGUCUGCGGGAUGAACCUCGCGGCGACGGUGGGGUCUGCGGGAGGAGGCCCGCGGCGGCAGCGGGUUCUGCUGGAGGAGGCACGUGGCAGCGGCGGGGUCUGCGGUAGGAGGCCCGUGGUGGCGGCGGGUUCUGCGGGAGGAGGCACGCGGCAGCGGCGGGGUCUGCGGGAGGAGGCCCGCGGCGGCGGGCGGCGGGUCUGCUGGAGGAGGCCAAUGGCGGCGCUGGGUUCCGGUGAUGCGAGGAAUCGAGGUUGGAGAAAGGUCGUGGGUAGAUUAUGCGUCCGUCCAGGAUGUGAUAGUGUGCCGGUUGGGUUG